rnacentral:rRNA from 1 species
UACAGAGGGUGCAAGCGUUGUUCGGAAUUAUUGGGCGUAAAGGGAGUGUAGGCGGUUCUUUAAGUCUUCUGUGAAAUCUACGGGCUUAGCCUGUAACGUGCAGAGGAAACUGGAGGGCUUGAGUGUCGGAGAGGAAAGGGGAAUUCCCGGUGUAGAGGUGAAAUUCGUAGAGAUGUGGAGGAACACCGAUGGCGAAGGCAGCCUCCUGGGCCAGCACUGACGCUCAUGCACGAAAGCGUGGGGAGCAAACAGG